rnacentral:rRNA from 1 species
AUGGAGCAUCGUCGGGCCGUUAGAAGAUCGGUGGUGCUGCAACAGAGCAUCUUCGGCCAUCGGAGCAUUGCCGGUGCUGCGGUGGAGCAUCGCCGAGCUGCCGGAGGAUCGUGGGAGCAUCAACGAUGCUGUGAUGGAGCAUCGCUGAGCCGCCGGAGGAUUGUCGGAGCAUCGCCGAGCCGUCGGAGGAUUGUCGGAGCAUUGUUGGUGCUGCGAUGGAGCAUCGCCGAGCUGCCGGAGGAUCGUCGGAGCAUUGCCGAGACGCCGGAGGAUCGUUGGUGCGACAGUGGAGCAUCGCCUGGCAAUCGGAACAUCGCAGAAGCAUCGCUGGCGCUGCAAUGA